GACCAACGCUGGCGGCGUGCCUAAUACAUGCAAGUCGAACGCUUCUUUCCUCCCGAGUGCUUGCACUCAAUUGGAAAGAGGAGUGGCGGACGGGUGAGUAACACGUGUGUAACCUACCCAUCAGAGGGGGAUAACACUUGGAAACAGGUGCUAAUACCGCAUAACAGUUUAUGCCGCAUGGCAUAAGAGUGAAAGGCGCUCUCGGGUGUCGUUGAUGGAUGGACCCGCGGUGCAUUAGCUAGUUGGGGAGGUAACGGCUCACCAAGGCCACGAUGCAUAGCCGAUCGGUGAGGGUGAUCGGCCACACUGCAACUGAGACACGGCCCAGAUUCCUACGGUAGUCAGCAGUAGGGUAUCUUCGGCGAUGCACGAAAGUCUGACCGAGCACCUCCGCGUGAGUUAAGACGGUUUUCGGAUCGUAAACCUCUGUUGUUAGCGAAGAACAAGGACGUUAGUAACUCAACGUCCCCUGACGGUAUCUAACCAGAUAGCCACGGCUAACUACUUG
rnacentral:rRNA from 1 species